rnacentral:rRNA from 1 species
UGGGCGAGAGCCUGAACCAGCCAAGUCGCGUGAAGGAAGACUGCCUUAUGGGUUGUAAACUUCUUUUAUACAGGAAUAAAAAGGCUUACGUGUAGGCCAUUGCAAGUACUGUAUGAAUAAGCAUCGGCUAACUCCGUGCCAGCAGCCGCGGUAAUACGGAGGGUGCAAGCGUUACUCGGAAUCACUGGGCGUAAAGAGCACGUAGGCGGCCUUGCAAGUCAGAUGUGAAAUCCAACGGCUUAACCGUUGAACUGCAUUUGAAACUGCAAGGCUAGAGUAUGGGAGAGGUAGGUGGAAUUCUCGGUGUAGGGGUAAAAUCCGUAGAGAUCGAGAGGAAUACUCAUUGCGAAGGCGACCUGCUGGAACAUUACUGACGCUGAGGUGCGAAAGCGUGGGGAGCAAACA